rnacentral:lncRNA from 1 species
UAGGGUCAGUUCACGUAGAUUCUGGUGCAUCUGCAAUAACUCGAGAAAGCCACACACAUAGGGAUCGGCCAUCACAACAGCAGCCUCUUCGAAAUCAGAGUACUGUUUAGUUCUGACCGAGGCUCAGGGUUUGCUAGUUGAAGGGGCUAAGUUUGCGCAGAGAUAAUCUGCCUCCUUGUGACCUGCGUGCAGUUUCCUAACAUGCUGCCUGCCAUCCAGUAGGAGCACAGACAGAGAUUGCACACUCCUCCUGGCCACAGGAUGGCCACAGCUCCACAUAGAGCUCAGUGCAGGAGACGUCUGCCCCUCCUCAUUUCUGGGACCUUUACUCUGAGAGGAGCUUUGAAACAAGCAAGUGCAAAACUGAAAAUAGAUUCCUUAGCGUCUUCUGUUCUAUCACCUAGUCACUGCGGCUCACCUCUUCUCUUAAUUCUGUAUUCCAUAUUAAAAGUUUUUUUCUUUC